CAUUACAACGUAAAAACGUCCCCGUCAGGGAGUCGGUGGCCAGCGGGCGCCUGAGCGGCGUCGGGCCCGUGCCCGGCGGGCCAGUGAUUGUAGCUUCGCUAGGGGGGUGGACCCAAACGAAGGUUCAAAGACAACCGGGAGGACCCACGUCACACCUGCCAGCCGGUGCGGCACCCCGACGACGACUCUCGCGUGGUCGCGACCGUCCGGCUCUCUGCCACACACAAACCACUCUGCGUACCUUUCCACGUUGCUUCCCCGUCCCGUCCACGGAGCGGGGGAGGUCCAACCCACGAAACCCUUGAUCUAGAACCGUCCGUCAGAAGUAAAAGCUGUUUUACAAAAACUUUCAACAACGGAUCUCUUGGUUCCCACAUCGAUGAAGAACGCAGCGAAAUGCGAUAAGUAAUGUGAAUUGCAGAAUCCAGUGAAUCAUCGAAUCUUUGAACGCACAUUGCGCCCUCUGGCAUUCCGGGGGGCAUGCCUGUCCGAGUGUCAUCAAACACCCUCCCCCGAGACCUUCUCAUAGCGCGUUGGCAAGGGGGGUAUUGGCCGUCCGGCUUUCCGCGGGUCCGCUUCGGCGGCCCGACCGGGCCCGGCUCAAAUUCCAGGUCUGUAGGCAGGAGUGUGCUGUCGGUCGACGUAAUGGUAACGCGUAACGCCUUCCCAGCCCCAGAGUCCUUCAGAACCACAAACGGCGUGCCUCGCGCGGCGACGCCACACCAGCAGUUUGACCUCGGAUCAGGUAGGGAUACCCGCUGAACUUAAGCAUAUCAAUAGUCCUCGACGUCCGCGUUGUAAUUUGGAGAGGCACCUUCGUUUGGGCGCCGGCUUAUGUUCCUUGGAACAGGACGUCACAGAGGGUGAGAAUCCCGUGCCGUCGGCUGUCCCAUUCCACGUGAAGUGUCUUCGACGAGUCGAGUUGUUUGGGAAUGCAGCUCAAAAUGGGUGGUAAAUUUCAUCUAAAGCUAAAUAUUGGUGGGAGACCGAUAGCGCACAAGUAGAGUGAUCGAAAGAUGAAAAGCACUUUGAAAAUAGAGUUAAAAAGCACGUGAAAUUGUUGAAAGGGAAGCGCUUGAGACCAGACUCGGCUUCGGACGAUCAGCCUCCCUUCUGGGCGGUGCACUCGUCUUUGGUCGGGCCAGCAUCGGUUGAGACGGCGGGACAAGGGCUUCGGGAAUGUGGCUCCUCUCGGGGAGUGUUAUAGCCCGUGGUGCAAUGCCGCCCGCCUCGACCGAGGACCGCGCUUCGGCUAGGAUGCUGGCGUAAUGGUCUUCAGCGACCCGUCUUGAAACACGGACCAAGGAGUCUAACAUCUAUGCGAGUGUUUGGGUGUCAAACCCUUGCGCGGAAUGAAAGUGAACGGGGGUGGGAACCCGCAAGGGCGCACCAUCGACCGGUCCUGAUGUCUUCGGAUGGAUCUGAGUAGGAGCAUAGCUGUUGGGACCCGAAAGAUGGUGAACUAUGCCUGAAUAGGGUGAAGCCAGAGGAAACUCUGGUGGAGGCUCGCAGCGGUUCUGACGUGCAAAUCGAUCGUCGAAUUUGGGUAUAGGGGCGAAAGACUAAUCGAACCAUCUAGUAGCUGGUUCCUGCCGAAGU
rnacentral:rRNA from 1 species